rnacentral:rRNA from 1 species
AGCGAACGUUUGCGGCGGGCCUAACACAUGCAAGUCGAACGAGAAUCUCUUCGGAGAGGAAAGUGGCGCACGGGUGCGUAACACGUGGAUAACCAACCCCCUGGUUCGGGAUAACAUCGGGAAACUGGUGCUAAUACCGGGUGUGUCCGCGAGGCCAACAGGCUUUGCGGAGAAAGACACGCAAGGGUCGCCAGGGGACGGGUCCGCGUCCCAUCAGCUAGUUGGUGAGGUAAUGGCUCACCAAGGCGAAGACGGGUAGCUGGUCUGAGAGGAUGAUCAGCACACUGGAACUGAGACACGGUCCAGACUCCUACGGGAGGCAGCAGUGGGGAAUAUUGCGCAAUGGGCGAAAGCCUGACGCAGCCACGCCGCGUGAGCGAUGAAGGUCUUAGGAUCGUAAAGCUCUGUGGAGGGAGAAGAAGAAAGCCGGUGAAGAGCCGGCCUUGACGGUAUCCCUUUAGCAAGCACCGGCUAACUCCGUGCCAGCAGCCGCGGUAAUAC